rnacentral:rRNA from 1 species
UAGGGAAUCUUCGGCAAUGGGGGCAACCCUGACCGAGCAACGCCGCGUGAGUGAAGAAGGUUUUCGGAUCGUAAAGCUCUGUUGUAAGACAAGAACGAGUGUGAGAGUGGAAAGUUCACACUGUGACGGUAACUUACCAGAAAGGGACGGCUAACUACGUGCCAGCAGCCGCGGUAAUACGUAGGUCCCGAGCGUUAUCCGGAUUUAUUGGGCGUAAAGCGAGCGCAGGCGGUUUGAUAAGUCUGAAGUUAAAGGCUGUGGCUCAACCAUAGUUCGCUUUGGAAACUGUCAAACUUGAGUGCAGAAGGGGAGAGUGGAAUUCCAUGUGUAGCGGUGAAAUGCGUAGAUAUAUGGAGGAACACCGGUGGCGAAAGCGGCUCUCUGGUCUGUAACUGACGCUGAGGCUCGAAAGCGUGGGGAGCGAACAGGAUUAGAUACCCUGGUAGUCCACGCCGUAACGAUGAGUGCUAGGUGUUGGAUCCUUUCCGGGAUUCAGUGCCGCAGCUAACGCAUUAAGCACUCCGCCUGGGGAGUACGACCGCAAGGUU